rnacentral:rRNA from 1 species
UGGGGAAUUUUGCACAAUGGGGGAAACCCUGAUGCAGCGACGCCGCGUGAUUUAGAAGGCCUUCGGGUUGUAAAAAUCUUUUCUAUGGGAAGAAAAUGACAGUACCAUAGGAAUAAGGACCGGCUAAUUACGUGCCAGCAGCCGCGGUAAUACGUAAGGUCCGAGCGUUGUCCGGAAUCAUUGGGCGUAAAGGGUACGUAGGCGGGUAAGCAAGUUAGAAGUGAAAUCCUAUAGCGCAACUAUAGUAAGCUUUUAAAGCGGCUCAUCUUGUGGUAUGGAAGGGAAGGUGGAGUUCCUAGUGUAGCAGUGAAAUGCGCAGAUAUUAGGAGGAAUACCGGUGGCGAAGGCGACUUUCUGGCCAUAACCUAACGCUGAGGUACGAAAGCGUGGGUAGCAAACAGG